GUUUUUGCCACAUUCUAAAAUUACAUACCUAAGUAAAGAGUGAAAAGUGUUUGAUGGUGAUUUUGCAUCCCUUUUAUAUUACUUUGGCUAAAUGGUAUUACUGUUGGACCUAUUCCAUAUUUAUAGUGUGUUAGAUAAGUGCUGCCUUAUUUCUUCCCUCCAAACUCCUACUUUAAUUUCAGAAUGACAAAAAGAUGCCUACCAGAUUCAGAAAACAAAGUGAACAUCUUGAGCAUGCUAUUGAUCAUGUGCUUGUCCUGAUAUCGGAAAGAAGAAGGGCGCGUACUCUACAUGGCACUAAUGAACAACCACCUCGUAACAUUCUUACAGCUGCUCUUGAACUGAUUAAUAUGGUCAAGAUGAUACUAAACAUUCUGGAAAGGCCUCCAUUUGAUUGCAUGUCAGAAUUUUCAAGUCUGAAAAGCCACCUCAUUAAACAUAUCACAUUACUGAAACAUUUCUCUGAGCAGGUAAGGCAUGGUUUUGUUGUGUUGUCUCCAUACAUCCUCAUAUGCAUUUAUUCAUCAAAUCCUGUAAAUUUAUCUUCAGUAACACUUAUACAAAC
rnacentral:lncRNA from 1 species